rnacentral:ncRNA from 9 species
UAAGCCCUUGUUCUAUAGAUUUGU